UGAGAAGGCUCUUGGCGGUGGAUCACUCGGCUCGCGAGUCGAUGAAGGACACAGCUAGCUGCG
rnacentral:rRNA from 1 species